UCCUGGUUAACCCAGGCAGUCUCAUUAGAGUUCCCAUCCGAAAUGUUGGCAACUAAUGAUAAGGGUUGCGCUCGUUGCGGGACUUAACCCAACACCUCACGGCACGAGCUGACGACAGCCAUGCAGCACCUGUGCACCGGUCCCGAAGGAAGAGGCUAUUUCUAGCCCUGUCCGGUGCAUGUCAAGUCUGGGUAAGGUUCUUCGCGUUGCAUCGAAUUAAACCACAUGCUCCACUGCUUGUGCGGGUCCCCGUCAAUUCUUUUGAGUUUCACCCUUGCGAGCGUACUCCCCAGGCGGUAUACUUAUCGCGUUAGCUUCGGCACAACCGGGGUUGAGUCCAGUUACACCAAGUAUACAUAGUUUACGGCAAGGACUAC
rnacentral:misc_RNA from 1 species